UCUGAAUGUUGAAUUAAGUUUUGGCCCUACUUUUCUCCCUUGAAGGUAGUGCAAAGUUGACGCCUAAGUUCUCGGGUUCCGCGACAGACCUGGUUGGAGAUAGCUUCCUUUCCUUGGGUAAGUCAACGGAUGACCUUUUAAAUCAACUGCUACUAGGGCCACCCACUAAAACCUUCGUGUUUCGUUUAGGUGGAUCUGUUGAGCGUAGUUUUCAAUCGAGGGGCAUCACCGAGUUUCAGGUAGGGGUACAGCGAGGGGCAGACCGACGAGAGGCAGGAAGGAUGCGUGAAGGCCAUAUGGACGCGUCUGAUUUUCUUUCGCUUCCGCUAUGUAUUUUGUCAGAAUAUUUUGAUUGUGAUUUUUGGACUGGUGACUUGACAUUUUAUUUUGUGACUUUUUGAAUUAUUUAAAAUAGGGCCCGAAACUGUCUCUUGUAAGGUUUAUAAUGUUUUAAUGAAUCGUAUCUGGUCUGUUUUAAAUUU